rnacentral:tRNA from 1 species
UCCUGCGUAGCUCAGUUGGCAGAGCAUCCGACUGUUAAUCGGACGGUCGCUGGUUCAAGC